CAGUAGCCGCGGUAAUACGUAGGUGGCGAGCGUUGUCCGGAAUUAUUGGGCGUAAAGGGCUCGCAGGCGGUUUCUUAAGUCUGAUGUGAAAGCCCCCGGCUCAACCGGGGAGGGUCAUUGGAAACUGGGAAACUUGAGUGCAGAAGAGGAGAGUGGAAUUCCACGUGUAGCGGUGAAAUGCGUAGAGAUGUGGAGGAACACCAGUGGCGAAGGCGACUCUCUGGCCUGUAACUGACGCUGAGGAGCGAAAGCGUGGGGAGCGAACAGGAUUAGAUACCCGCGUAUCCCUGUCUCUUAUACA
rnacentral:rRNA from 1 species